GAUGAACGCUGGCGGCGUGCCUAAUACAUGCAAGUCGAGCGAACGGACGAGAAGCUUGCUUCUCUGAUGUUAGCGGCGGACGGGUGAGUAACACGUGGAUAACCUACCUAUAAGACUGGGAUAACUUCGGGAAACCGGAGCUAAUACCGGAUAAUAUUUUGAACCGCAUGGUUCAAAAGUGCAAGGCGGUCUUGCUGUCACUUAUAGAUGGAUCCGCGCUGCAUUAGCUAGUUGGUAAGGUAACGGCUUACCAAGGCAACGAUGCAUAGCCGACCUGAGAGGGUGAUCGGCCACACUGGAACUGAGACACGGUCCAGACUCCUACGGGAGGCAGCAGUAGGGAAUCUUCCGCAAUGGGCGAAAGCCUGACGGAGCAACGCCGCGUGAGUGAUGAAGGUCUUCGGAUCGUAAAACUCUGUUAUUAGGGAAGAACAUAUGUGUAAGUAACUGUGCACAUCUUGACGGUACCUAAUCAGAAAGCCACGGCUAACUACGUG
rnacentral:rRNA from 1 species